CCCCUCUCAGGGUCGCACCUGGAGAGUUUCCAGUACUCUACCAGUCUCGAUGACAGGAGGGAGAGUCAAGUAGAGGCCUACUCAUUCCAUUCCGAGCUUGGGCAGUGGCUAGCGAGUGGAGGACAAGCUGCUACAAGU